UUCAACCAAGAAACUAGCCAAAAAAUUAUAAUAGUGUGUUUUACUUUUCUCUAUUCCUCUACAAAAUCAAUUAUGCGCUUUCUUCAAUAUUAUUUAUUGAUUUUGGGUAAACCCUAAAUCACCAAUCUGUUAUCUCUCGAUACUGCCCAGUUUCUUUGAGGUUUCUGUUCAUAUUACGUUUAUUCUGGGAGGCGAGAGAUAUCGAGAGAAGCAGCUACUGUGAUCAAAUUAAUAGCCUUUUUGCAGUUCAACUGCGUCUUGGUAUAUAUAAUAAUCUCUACUCAAUUGGAUGAUUUUGUCUACUUUAUUAGUAGUUUUGGCUCGUAAUUGUGGAUUGAUAUAGUGUCUUUUGACAAUCUUGGUUAGCUUUUUGAGUAGGUUUAGUGGAACCCGAGGGGGUAUUCUUUGGUUUGAUGAAAGUAUUUACAUGGGUUCAGGGUUUCUCAAUUAUGUGCUGAAUUUGUGGCCUUUUGUGGGCCUACGAGUUGAUGACUUGACAUCAUCAGAUAGACUAGUUAGAAGACUUUCUCUACCUGAUCACACCAAGCAAUUUGUUUAUGCUGUUAGGGAGCCUGAAAGUGAGGCGGUUGUAUAUAUUCUUUCUGUGCAAAACUUGUCUGAGAGAUCUGCUAGGGAUGUUGAAAUUUUGAUAAAGGAAGUACAACCGAAUGCAGUUGUUGCCUUAGUUAGUCCUAAUACAUUGUCCCAACUUCAUGAACAUGAACGAAUUGAAGGCGUCGAUGAGGAGGUUCCUACUUCAGCAUUAAGAGUUUUGACGAGGAGUUUUGUGGAUAAAACAAAUAAAGAGAAGUAUGAAAAUAUUGCUGGAAACUUGGUAUUAAAGGAGGUUUUUGGUAUUGGCUUCUAUGAGAACUUCUUUGCUGCCAAAAGGUUGGCAAAUGAAGUUGGGUCUUCAUUUUGUGUCAUUGAAUCUCCAAUUGUGAAGUCAACUAGCGCUGAAACUGAGCCAUCUUGCGAGACUGGUACGGCUAGUUGUAAGCUUCAAAAUUUGGCGUUGCAGCCAUCUAAUUUGGUUCCACAAAAUUGGGGUCCCAUAGUUAGUAAUCCCCAUAGUUUUCUAGUUACCAGCGAUAUCCAGUCACAGAUGGUCAAGUUAUUAUCCCCAAUUCUAUCACAAUCAUUAUUGCUCUUGAGUUCUUUCUCUUCUGUGGAUAAAGAGUCAUGUAUAACGGAGCCCAGCUGCAGUUAUUGCCCCCCAUCAUUUGCGCAAUCAAUUUAUCCUUUACUCAUGGAUCUUCAUGACAUUUUUGCUGACAUCCCAUCUAUGGAUCGUGCUCUAGCUUAUGCACAAAAAAUGUUUUUUGAUGUUGAUACAGGAGAUAAUGUAGAUGCUGAAUUGUUGUCUGAGCUGUAUACCUUUCGGAUUGCCGUUGAAGGGCUGAGGAUUGCUCUUAAUAAUGCUGGUAGACUCCCGAUUCGCAAAUUAGGGAAUACUUUAGCGGACAAAAUGGGUUUUGAAGAGCUGUCUAUCGAAGAGAAAUCCCAUUGUCUUCUUGCAGAAGCCCUUAGACGUCAGGCAAAAAAGUGUAAGACAGUUGUGGCAGUAGUGGAUGCUAGUUGUUUAGCUGGUGUACGGAAGUUCUGGAACACUCCUUUACCUGGAGAAGUCAAGGAUGUGGUUGAAGAACUUAUUGAAUUCCUGGAGAUUGAUGGAGAGAGCACCGAUGAUAAAAGGAAGCGGAUAUUGUCUGGUAAACCUGUAGUGGCUGUUGCUUCUGGCGCUACUAUCGUUCUGGGGGCAUCUUCCCUUAGUAAAGCUGUUCCAGUGACAUCUGUGGUAAAGGUGGUUAUGUCAAAUGUUCCAGCAUCUUUGAAGCUUUUUCUUACGCAUACGCACAAAGCAACUGCAUUUGCACUGAGCAAGUUUCUUGGUCCGUCAAAAAUUGUGGCUCCGAGCUUUGCAAGUUCUGGAGCUAAAGCAUCCACCGCAUUCAAAGCAGCUGCUUCCGCAGAGAAAAUUCGUGCUGUUACUCAUAGUGUUUUAGCUUCUGCUCAAAAGACCAGCUUUUCAGCCACGAGAGCUGCGUUUUAUGAGAUAAUGAGGAAACGGCGGAUUCAGCCGAUUGGGAGCAUGCCAUGGGCUACCUUUGGCUUCAGCAUUGUGAGUUGUGCUGGGUUGCUUGUGUAUGGGGAUGGAAUUGAAUGUGCUGCUGAAUCUCUUCCUGCAGCCCAUUCAAUUGCUAGCUUGGGUCGAGGUAUCCAAAAUAUGCAGCAGGCAUCCCAAUCCAUGGGACACUCACGUGGACAGAAGAUUGAAAAAGCUAUAGAGUCACUGAUGCACCACUUUAAUAAAGUGAAGAUCCACUAGAGCUUGUAGCCUUGUAGGGUUAUAAAAGAGAUUGUUUUGCUAUCCAGCUAUUUAAUUAAGCCCAGCAAUAGCUUAAAAAAUAAUGGCAUAUGAACCUGAGUGUGAAAGAAUUGAUAUGACAUGAAUCAACCAAGCUGCCAACGCAGAAUAUGCAAGUAGAAGCUAAGGAUCACAAAACUAGAAGAAAAAGAGAGGGGAAUUCGUGGAGGUGAACUUUUGUAGAAGAUCAUUGGUACUAAAGUAUUAAUCACGUGGCUGAAUUUAUGGGAUUGAAUUUUGCGAUUGUUAUUGUUGGGAAAUUGGUCAAACUUUGAAGAUACCUUGAAGGUGCAUAGCUGAUGGACGAAUUCAUUUUAUCCAAGCAAGCCAAGUGACUUGUCAAGACUCGAGUGCAUAUGCAGUACUUCAUAGACGAAGAGGGCUGCCAACCUAAGCAAGGUGCAUCCAGAGUUGUGUAUGUGCAACUUUUCAGUAUAUGCAGGGUCAUCAUGGUUGCUGCUUCUGCGUGUAAAUAUAAUCGAGGUGAGCAGCCAGAGACCUCCUGAACAAGCAUUCAUCUCUCUGUAACCCAUCACAACUGAUUUCAUCUCGAAUCUCAGCUUCAUUCAUUUCCUGUUCAGCAACCAAAAACAGAUUUUGGUCAUUAAUCUGUUGAGCACAAAUAGUUUCCGUUUGAAGGCAGAAAGGAUUACACGAGAGAAGUAGGGAGAAAACGAAAGAGUACCUGAUGUUGGCCUCGGAGUAGUUGGUCAGCAGGCUCGAGUCGCGCAGCAUUACAGGCUAGAAUGAUGGUGAAGAGAAUGAAGAAGAAGUGGAAAGAGAAAUACAAAUUGAUGAA